rnacentral:lncRNA from 1 species
CCGGGCCGGAAGGCGGAGGCCGCGCCGGGGCGUGUGGGGCUGGGGGCCUGAUCCGAAUCAGGUAAAUCGCGGAAGGAGCGGGAGGGAAAUGGGGCUGCGAGAGCUUGGGGUUCAUGCUACCCACCGCUGUCGUGCAGGCUGCUGAAGCUCCCCACGUGUCCAGAGGAGCCCAGAACCCCACACCGGUGUCCACGGGGAACCAGAGCCCCCGCAGCAGUGUCUCGUGGCGCUCGGAUCCACACACGUGUGCUCAGGGGCGUCCACACCUUCCCACCUGUGUCCACAAUGGGUCUCACUAGGGCACUAGGGUCUCACUAGGGAACCUGUUCUGUUCCCCCAGGCUCAGCCUGGAGGUUUAUUCCGCCCACCUCGAAAUUUGUGUCCAGGAGAGCUGAGCCCAAGGCCUAAGGCCCUCCACCUACAUACCCAAUCCGUCCCUAGAUCGACCCCCUCUCCCCCCAGCACGUUUUUGGCUCUCAGUGAAGAAAUAACCUCAACAGGGGCGCCAGGGUGGCUCGGUCGGUCAAGCGUCCCACUUCGGCUCAGGUCAUGAUCUCACGGUUCGUGGGGUCGAGUCCCGCGUCGGGCUCUGAGCUGACAACUCGGAGCCUGGAGCCUGCUUCGGAUUCUGUGUCUCCCUCUCUCUG